rnacentral:rRNA from 1 species
GCGUGGGGAGCAAAUAGGAUUAGAUACCCUAGUAGUCCACGCCGUAAACGAUGAGAACUAGGUGUUGGGGGAAUAACUCAGUGCCGCAGUUAACGCAAUAAGUUCUCCGCCUGGGGAGUAUGCACGCAAGUGUGAAACUCAAAGGAAUUGACGGGGGCCCGCACAAGCGGUGGAGUAUGUGGUUUAAUUCGAAGCAACGCGAAGAACCUUACCAGGCCUUGACAUCCCUUGCAGAGGUAUAGAGAUAUAUCCGAGGUUAUCAAGGAGACAGGUGGUGCAUGGUUGUCGUCAGCUCGUGUCGUGAGAUGUUGGGUUAAGUCCCGCAACGAGCGCAACCCUUGUGAUAUGUUACUAACAUUGAGUUGAGGACUCAUAUCAGACUGCCGGUGAUAAACCGGAGGAAGGUGGGGAUGACGUCAAAUCAUCAUGCCCCUUAUGGCCUGGGCUACACACGUACUACAAUGGCGUCUACAAAGAGCGGCAAGCCUGUGAAGGCAAGCGAAUCUCAUAAAGGACGUCUCAGUUCGGAUUGAAGUCUGCAACCCGACUUCAUGAAGCUGGAAUCGCUAGUAAUCGCGAAUCAGCAUGUCGCGGUGAAUACGUUCUCGGGCCUUGUACACACCGCCCGUCAAACCAUGGGAGUUGGUAAUGCCCGAAGCCGGUGGCAUAACCUUUCGAGGAGUGAGCCGUCGAAGGCAGGACCGAUGACUGGGGUUAAGUCGUAACAAGGUAUCCCUACGGGAACGUGGGGAUG